AUGAAUUUAACAUACUGGGGUGGAGAAUUGGUAAUCUCCUCUUUUUACAGGCCCUUUAAUGCAAAAACAGUCGUCUUCUCUUUCAGCUCUCUGUUCUUCGGGUUGAUUGAGAUUAUUCUCCCUCCCUUUUGUUAUCAUCUCCUAGAAUAGAUGUUUUUGUUGAUUUUGAGCGUUCUUCCAGAUCGGGAUAAUCUGUUUCUCGAACAUGCCCGAAACUUAUCAUCCUGCGCGGUAAGAUUUACUAGUUGUAUUACUUAUUAGUCUCUCUAUUGGCGCACUGUGAUCUGAUUGUAAUCCUCCCCUAGACCACUAGUGGAUUUCUCGGUGGGUGAUGUUUCAUCUUCACCUCUUUCUAGACUCUACUCUAUCAUCUCCUACUUUGUUGUACAAAUCUCUGAUUUGUGCUCUUGUGUUUGUUUCUCCAAGAACUUGUCAAACCAACCAGGAGGGACUCUUUACUCACACAUGUUUUAAAGAUAUGUGAUGCCAAAUCUUUUACCAGCCCAUCGAGAGUAGAUUACAAGCCGUCUCAUGGUGCUGUUUCAGGCAGGGAGAAACAUAUAUGGAUUUGCCAGUUUUGCUUUCUUUAAAACAGUUUUAUGUUAACAUACUACGAAUUUACAAACCCCUGUUUUUUUGCCUUGCCUUCUUAUCUUUUAACCAACGCUAAGAAAUAUGAUGAGCUAAAAUUUUCGACAAUCAGUAACUAACCUGCUCGUCUUCUUGCCACCAUGAUGGAUGGGCCUUCACCUAUUUUCCUUCAAGUGGCAGAGUACAAGGAGUCCACCAAAUAUGGAUCGUUUAUGCCCCUCUCCAAUUCCCUUGGUUGAAUAUUAAUGCAACUCCACACAGGCAUUCUACAUUUGAUUCACAGCGAUAAUCAUGGUAGAUUGUUGAUUCAGCUGUUCAAGAUCCUCUUGCUUCUGAUAUCAAGCACACCGUACGUACAUUUCUUCUGUUUUAUCUUGUCAGCUCCUCAUGAUUAAUGAUAUAAAGUGUUGCAUCUUUAUAAAGUUACUCGAGAAUGCCAGGAGAAUUGCUGCCAAAAGUUAUAGUGUCUCUGCAUGCUAGGAUCAAUGAGGGAUUUCCUUUUAAAAAUGAUAAGACUGGUCUGCUGGGAAGCAAUAGGAGGAUAAAUAUAUUGGUAUUUCUCUGGACGGUACAAGCAUUGAACAAGCGUCUACCCGCGACUCCUUGACCUCGGUGCGUAUAACAGCAUCAUGGGCUUUGGCCAAUGUAUGCGACUCUCUGCGAUGUUGUCAAAGGUGUGGAGCAUACUUUACAAAGUCUGCAUUAUGACAGAGAGACGACUCCAACAAAUUUCAGAUAUAAGAGAUCGCUCGAGAAUCAGUUGUCUAAGGAUAUGCAUGAUGAAAACGGAGAUAUCUCUUACACUUGGGUUCACUAAUCCCACUGGGAUGUACGUAGCGGCGAUGCAAACGAUCCUGGCACAUAUCUGGUAUCAUUUGACGAUGGGACUGCUAGCUAUCUGCAUCGGUUUUUGUUACAUAUUCCAGUUCUAUAUCUUUUCUUCUGUCUAUAAGACUUUGGGGUGAUCUUUGAAAAUUUGGCAGCCCCUACCCACAAAGCUGAACUUGAGGAAGAAAAAGGCCAGGGAAGGAAGAUCUUCUGGUGUUCUUUAAACUCUAACUGCAUCGGUUUUUGUUACAUAUCCCAGUUCUAUAUCUUUUCUUCUGUCUAUAAGACUUUGGGGUGAUCUUUGAAAAUUUGGCAGCCCCUACCCACAAAGCUGAACUUGAGGAAGAAAAAGGCCAGGGAAGGAAGAUCUUCUGGUGUUCUUUAAACUCUAACUGCAUCGGUUUUUGUUACAUAUCCCAGUUCUAUAUCUUUUCUUCUGUCUAUAAGACUUUGGGGUGAUCUUUGGCAGCCCCUACCCACAAAGCUGAACUUGAGGAAGAAAAGGGCCAGGGAAGGAAGAUCUUCUGGUGAGAUUGAACACUUUCCAGUACCUUCAAGGGUGACUGUAAGGCGAAGAUCUACUGGAUCAGUGACAGAACAUAAAGAUUCAGGGGUGUAGCAAAUCCAUACAUAAAGCCUUCAAAGAGAGUAAUACAAAAAGUAUGUGGAAAGUUCUACUUCUCUUGUCAGUUUCUUUGGACUUUGGGGCUUUGGAUGUUGGUAUACUCUUCUAGGGUUGGUGCUUCGAGUUCCAAGAGGCGAUGGUUAGACGAAGAGGAAGGCUUGGUAAGAUCUUGGUCGGAACGAGAGCCAAUCAAUAUAUUGAUUGUAAUGUGGAUGAUUACUCUGAUUGAACGUUUCAUUUACUUCAAACUAUUCAUUUGGUUUUCUAAUGGUGUGUAAAAGUAUCCUGCAAGGCUACUUGUAGGCUAAUCUAAAGAGCCUCAUAAUUUGGCAAGUACACUAAAAUAUUGAUUUGGAUAGCUGGGAAAGUUGAGAAAGGAUUUCACAUUUUAGGAGCA